rnacentral:lncRNA from 1 species
AGGGCAGGAGCUGGAGAAGGCAGUGCAUCUGCUCAAGGCCAAGCCUCCGUUUGUCAGCAGCUCCCUGGGAGUCCCAACUUUGAGCCUUUUCUCCCUCUCCUCUAAACAGACCAAACAGGAUUUUCUGUUGGCUAUCUGGAGAACAUGCCUAAAGAAGAAGUAUGUUUUUCAGGACUUCAUUUGUACAAUAGGUAUGGUAUCUCUUACUUUCUCAAUGGAUGGGGAAGGAGUGGAGGUAGAGAAUUUGGAAUUUUUUUUUAAUUACAAAAUUGAAAAAUAAACAUUUCACAAUGAUAUUUUAAUUUGGUUCAGGGUCCUCUCAGGAGUGUUGAAGCCUCUGGUGAAGAGAAAAGAACUAAGGAUUUCAUUUCAGCAGCUCCAGUUCUAAAACUACCUUCAAUUCAAUUCAAAACAUCUGUUAAACAGCUGUUGUAUUCAAGACCGCAUUGUUUAGUAUUGAUAAAGAGAAGACCUUGGAAUUAGGACAACCUAGGUUCAAAAUUUUCUACUGGCACAUACUAACCAUACAAACAAGGCCAAGUCUCAACAUCUCAGAUCCUAAGGCUCUAAGUCACAAAUGACUUAGUUAUUCAUCUGUAUGAGUGCAAGGAAUCUCAAUGCUGGGAGUUCCUCACCCCUGUAAAACCAGCACAGAUCUGAAUAUACACAAAGCCCUGGAGAUACAAAAACAAAAACAAAACAGCUUCUAGUCUCCAGGAGUUUAAAUCCUAGUGGAGAGACCCAAUCUAGACACAAAUAAGGAAACAUAAGACAAAUUGAGGGGGAAGAGAGUUUUAGCGACUGGAAUAAGUUUUCAGAGGAAAGAAGAGUGCCUGAAAUGACCCUUAAGGAAGAGAAAGAUCCUGAGAAGAAGUAAGGCAAGAGUGCAUCCUAAGCAUGGACAAAGGCUGAUGCCAAGGAAUAGAGACAGAUGAUGGCUGGAUUGUUAGCGUUAGAAGGAAGCUGAUGAUACACAAAAAUAUAUGACUUCCUAAAAGAGGAAUGUGAAAUAAGCCUGAAAUGGUAGGUGGGUAGGAGCCAACUUGUGGAGGACCAUAGAUGUCAAACUGAGGAGUUUUAUCCUAAAAACAGUGGAAAGAGAAACACUGGGGAGUUCAGGGGAAUGUCCUUUCUAGUGCCUCUGGGACUUGAUUCCCUCAUCAGGAAAAUAGAGGGAUGAACCAGAUUGUAUCUAAGACUCCUUCCCACCUGAUAGUCUUGAUACAGGUCUGUGAGUUUGGACAAAAGAGAUAUUGA